rnacentral:rRNA from 1 species
UACGUAGGGUGCAAGCGUUGUCCGGAAUUAUUGGGCGUAAAGAGCUCGUAGGCGGUUUGUCGCGUCUGCUGUGAAAUCUGGAGGCUCAACCUCCAGCCUGCAGUGGGUACGGGCAGACUAGAGUGUGGUAGGGGAGACUGGAAUUCCUGGUGUAGCGGUGAAAUGCGCAGAUAUCAGGAGGAACACCGAUGGCGAAGGCAGGUCUCUGGGCCACUACUGACGCUGAGAAGCGAAAGCAUGGGGAGCGAACAGG